GCAUAUCAAUAAGCGGAGGAAAAGAAACCAACAGGGAUUGCCCCAGUAACGGCGAGUGAAGCGGCAACAGCUCAAAUUUGAAAUCUGGCCUCGUGCCCGAGUUGUAAUUUGUAGAGGAUGCUUUUGGCGACGCGCCUUCCGAGUUCCCUGGAACGGGACGCCAUAGAGGGUGAGAGCCCCGUCCGGUCGUGCGCCUAGCCUCUGUAAAGCUCCUUCGACGAGUCGAGUAGUUUGGGAAUGCUGCUCUAAAUGGGAGGUAUACGUCUUCUAAAGCUAAAUACCGGCCAGAGACCGAUAGCGCACAAGUAGAGUGAUCGAAAGAUGAAAAGCACUUUGAAAAGAGGGUUAAAUAGUACGUGAAAUUGCUGAAAGGGAAGCGCUUAUGACCAGACUUGGGCGCGGCGGAUCAUCCGGCGUUCUCGCCGGUGCACUCCACCGCCCCAGGCCAGCAUCAGUUCGCGCCGGGGGACAAAGGCUUCGGGAAUGUGGCUCUCUCGGGAGUGUUAUAGCCCGCUGCGUAAUACCCUGGCGCGGACUGAGGUCCGCGCUCUGCAAGGAUGCUGGCGUAAUGGUCAUCAGUGACCCGUCUUGAAACACGGACCAAGGAGUCGUCUUCGUAUGCGAGUGUUCGGGUGUCAAACCCCUACGCGGAAUGAAAGUGAACGUAGGAGAGAGCUUCGGCGCAUCUCCGACCGAUCCUGAUGUUCUCGGAUGGAUUUGAGUAAGAGCAUACGGGGCCGGACCCGAAAGAAGGUGAACUAUGCCUGUGUAGGGUGAAGCCAGAGGAAACUCUGGUGGAGGCUCGCAGCGGUUCUGACGUGCAAAUCGAUCGUCAAACAUGGGCAUGGGGGCGAAAGACUAAUCGAACCUUCUAGUAGCUGGUUUCCGCCGAAG
rnacentral:rRNA from 1 species